AGGUGCGAUCAUACCACCAUUAAUGCACCGGAUCCCAUCAGAACGCCGUAACUAAGCGUGCUUGGCGAGAGUAGUACUAGGAUGGGUGACCUCUAGGGAAGUCCUCGUGUUGCACCGC
rfam:Lupinus angustifolius cultivar Tanjil chromosome LG02, whole genome shotgun sequence.